UCAGACGGUCGGAUGGCCGCGGCGCCAUAUGCGGGGAAACCCGAGGUGCCGAGGAAAGUCCGGGCUCCACGGGAACACGGUGCCGGAUAACGUCCGGCGGGGGCGACCUCCGGGAAAGUGCCACAGAGAGCAGACCGCCCGCCCCGGGGCUCCACGGAAACCGACGCGCACCGCGCGGAUCAGGUCCGGGGGCGCCAACCCGGGGCGCGGCAAGGGUGAAAGGGUGCGGUAAGAGCGCACCGCGGCCCCGGCGACGGGGACGGCAUGGCAAACCCCACCGGGAGCAAGACCGAAUAGGGACGGCAGGGCCGGACCGCCACGGCGGACCGGAGAUGCCCAAGGCGCGUUCCCGCGCCCCGUCCGGGUAGGUCGCGCGAGGCGUCCGGCGACGGACGUCCCAGACGAAUGGCCAUCCAGCGCCCUUCAUCGGGCGUGGACAGAACCCGGCUUACAGACCGUCUGACCCG
rnacentral:RNase_P_RNA from 1 species